CCGAUGGCGACCGGCGCACGGGUGAGUAACACGUAUCCAACCUGCCGAUGACUCGGGGAUAGCCUUUCGAAAGAAAGAUUAAUACCCGAUGGCAUAGUUCUUCCGCAUGGUGGAACUAUUAAAGAAUUUCGGUCAUCGAUGGGGAUGCGUUCCAUUAGGUUGUUGGCGGGGUAACGGCCCACCAAGCCUUCGAUGGAUAGGGGUUCUGAGAGGAAGGUCCCCCACAUUGGAACUGAGACACGGUCCAA
rnacentral:rRNA from 1 species